rnacentral:rRNA from 2 species
CCUGAAGUCAGCGGCGGACGGGUGAGUAACACGUGGGCAACCUGCCUGUAAGACUGGGAUAACUCCGGGAAACCGGGGCUAAUACCGGAUAACUCUUUUCCUCACAUGAGGAAAAGCUGAAAGAUGGUUUCGGCUAUCACUUACAGAUGGGCCCGCGGCGCAUUAGCUAGUUGGUGAGGUAACGGCUCACCAAGGCCACGAUGCGUAGCCGACCUGAGAGGGUGAUCGGCCACACUGGGACUGAGACACGGCCCAGACUCCUACGGGAGGCAGCAGUAGGGAAUCUUCCGCAAUGGACGAAAGUCUGACGGAGCAACGCCGCGUGAGUGAUGAAGGUUUUCGGAUCGUAAAACUCUGUUGUCAGGGAAGAACAAGUACCGGAGUAACUGCCGGUACCUUGACGGUACCUGACCAGAAAGCCACGGCUAACUACGUGCCAGCAGCCGCGGUAAUACGUAGGUGGCAAGCGUUGUCCGGAAUUAUUGGGCGUAAAGCGCGCGCAGGCGGUUCCUUAAGUCUGAUGUGAAAGCCCCCGGCUCAACCGGGGAGGGUCAUUGGAAACUGGGGAACUUGAGUGCAGAAGAGAAGAGUGGAAUUCCACGUGUAGCGGUGAAAUGCGUAGAGAUGUGGAGGAACACCAGUGGCGAAGGAGACUCUUUGGUCUGUAACUGACGUUGAGGCGCGAAAGCGUGGGGAGCAAACAGGAUUAGAUACCCUGGUAGUCCACGCCGUAAACGAUGAGUGCUAAGUGUUAGAGGGUUUCCGCCCUUUAGUGCUGCAGCAAACGCAUUAAGCACUCCGCCUGGGGAGUACGGCCGCAAGGCUGAAACUCAAAGGAAUUGACGGGGGCCCGCACAAGCGGUGGAGCAUGUGGUUUAAUUGGAAGCAACGCGAAGAACCUUACCAGGUCUUGACAUCUCCUGACAACCCUAGAGAUAGGGCGUUCCCCUUCGGGGGACAGGAUGACAGGUGGUGCAUGGUUGUCGUCAGUUCGUGUCGUGAGAUGUUGGGUUAAGUCCCGCAACGAGCGCAACCCUUGAUUUUAGUUGCCAGCAUUCAGUUGGGCACUCUAAGGUGACUGCCGGUGACAAACCGGAGGAAGGUGGGGAUGACGUCAAAUCAUCAUGCCCCUUAUGACUUGGGCUACACACGUGCUACAAUGGAUGGUACAAAGGGCUGCAAGACCGCGAGGUUAAGCGAAUCCCAUAAAACCAUUCUCAGUUCGGAUUGCAGGCUGCAACUCGCCUGCAUGAA